CUAUUUAGGUAGCGCCUCGUGAAUUCAUCUCCGGGGGUAGAGCACUGUUUCGGCAAGGGGGUCAUCCCGACUUACCAACCCGAUGCAAACUGCGAAUACCGGAGAAUGUUAUCACGGGAGACACACGGCGGGUGCUAACGUCCGUCGUGAAGAGGGAAACAACCCAGACCGCCAGCUAAGGUCCCAAAGUCAUGGUUAAGUGGGAAACGAUGUGGGAAGGCCCAGACAGCCAGGAUGUUGGCUUAGAAGCAGCCAUCAUUUAAAGAAAGCGUAAUAGCUCACUGGUCGAGUCGGCCUGCGCGGAAGAUGUAACGGGGCUAAACCAUGCACCGAAGCUGCGGCAGCGACGCUGAUGCGUUGUUGGGUAGGGGAGCGUUCUGUAAGCCUGUGAAGGUGUGCUGUGAGGCAUGCUGGAGGUAUCAGAAGUGCGAAUGCUGACAUAAGUAACGAUAAAGCGGGUGAAAAGCCCGCUCGCCGGAAGACCAAGGGUUCCUGUCCAACGUUAAUCGGGGCAGGGUGAGUCGACCCCUAAGGCGAGGCCGAAAGGCGUAGUCGAUGGGAAACAGGUUAAUAUUCCUGUACUUGGUGUUACUGCGAAGGGGGGACGGAGAAGGCUAUGUUGGCCGGGCGACGGUUGUCCCGGUUUAAGCGUGUAGGCUGGUUUUCCAGGCAAAUCCGGAAAACUAAGGCUGAGGCGUGAUGACGAGGCACUACGGUGCUGAAGCAACAAAUGCCCUGCUUCCAGGAAAAGCCUCUAAGCAUCAGGUAACAUCAAAUCGUACCCCAAACCGACACAGGUGGUCAGGUAGAGAAUACCAAGGCGCUUGAGAGAACUCGGGUGAAGGAACUAGGCAAAAUGGUGCCGUAACUUCGGGAGAAGGCACGCUGAUAUGUAGGUGAAGUCCCUCGCGGAUGGAGCUGAAAUCAGUCGAAGAUACCAGCUGGCUGCAACUGUUUAUUAAAAACACAGCACUGUGCAAACACGAAAGUGGACGUAUACGGUGUGACGCCUGCCCGGUGCCGGAAGGUUAAUUGAUGGGGUCAGCGCAAGCGAAGCUCUUGAUCGAAGCCCCGGUAAACGGCGGCCGUAACUAUAACGGUCCUAAGGUAGCGAAAUUCCUUGUCGGGUAAGUUCCGACCUGCACGAAUGGCGUAAUGAUGGCCAGGCUGUCUCCACCCGAGACUCAGUGAAAUUGAACUCGCUGUGAAGAUGCAGUGUACCCGCGGCAAGACGGAAAGACCCCGUGAACCUUUACUAUAGCUUGACACUGAACAUUGAGCCUUGAUG
rnacentral:rRNA from 1 species